ncrna:unclassified sequences skipping-rope RNA
AAUUUCAGAGGACGGAACGGGCCGCCGUCGCCCCCACCACCAUCCGAGGGUGCAGUGGUAAUAUGGGCUGGAGAUGCAGGAGUGUCGCCCUGCCUGAACUU